UACGUAGGGUGCGAGCGUUAAUCGGAAUUACUGGGCGUAAAGCGGGCGCAGGCGGUUCGUUAAGUCAGCUGUGAAAGCCCCGGGCUCAACCUGGGAAUUGCGGUUGAAACUGGCGAACUAGAAUCUGGCAGAGGGGGGUGGAAUUCCACGUGUAGCAGUGAAAUGCGUAGAGAUGUGGAGGAACACCGAUGGCGAAGGCAGCCCCCUGGGCUGAGAUUGACGCUCAGGCACGAAAGCGUGGGGAGCAAACAGG
rnacentral:rRNA from 1 species